rnacentral:lncRNA from 1 species
UAGGCACUGGACUAUAGCAGUAAACAAAGCUCAUCAUGUCUCUGCCCUCAAACUCUACAGUCCCGGGAAUGAGGAAAACUGAGGUCAGGUUCUGCAAAGUGGACCAGAGACUGUGCACAAGAAGAUGAUGCUCCAUGAACGGCUGGAACUGGAAACAGAUGGGAAGUCCUAGCAGUUCUCAUGAACCACUUGAAAAAAUUAAAAAUCACGCCACGGUUGGCCAAGCGUCUGUUUACCUCUUGAAGAACUCUCUCAGGUGACAGCAAUCACAGGCAGGUUCUGAAUCACAGGCUGAUGUUAACAGGUACCAAGGCUGUACCCCCUGGAAAAGCCUAUUUCCAGCCUUCCGAGGCUAUUUCAUUACCACCCUGGCU